UCAACUGGUUGCAGACAUUGUCUAUAGAGAUUGUCAGACAGAAACUCAGCUUUGUUCAGGCUUCUUUCCAGUCUUUUGCUCUCUGAUUUGAGGGUGUUUUUGAGGGAAUACUACAAAUAAACCUUUCAACCAAGUGACCUGCAUCGGGUUGUUCUUAGUGCUCAUCGUGCAAGAGGCCUCUACAGGUGUCCAGCAGCAGUCAUGAGUCUCCACCCAGCUGGCUGCUGAUGAAGAUUUAAACACUCAGAACUAUUCAAAGCAUCAACAUCUCCUACCUCAUCCAACACAGGAUCUUCAUCAUUGCCUGAUAUGAGCGUCUACUAUGGACAGAAUAAAACCUACAUUUUUUUGAUUGUAAAUAUACUGUGGCUUCUACUCCACUAUAUUUAGCUUCAGACUCAGAUUUUUUUUUUUUUUUACUCAAAACAUCUGAUACAGCAGUAAAACACUGCUCACACAUUAAUGCAUCAGUAAUAAUAAUCCAAUAAUAUAAAGUGUAAUAGUGUAACACUUUACUCAAGUGACAUCUUAAUGCAGGACAUUUGUAAGCUAACUCUGUUGCAGUACAUCAAAUGUUAACAUUAUGUUGAACACUGUACAUGGUCCCAAUAAAUGCAGUGCAACAAAACA